AGAAAAGCUGUGAAAAAUUGGGAGAAAAUUGGUUAAAAUUUGAAGAGAAAAUUUGGGGCGAAAAUUUGGGGAGAAAAUUUGGAGAAAAUCGGUGAAGAAUUGGGAGUAAAUUGGUGAAAAUUUGUGGUGAAAAUUUGUGGAAAAAAUUGGGAGAAAAUCGGUGAAAAUUGUGGGAGAAAAUCGGUGAAAAUUGGGGGAUUUGGGCACACCUGGGCACACCUGGGCACACCUGAGGUAGAUAGGAACACACCUGGGCACACCUGGGCACACCUAGAGGGGGAAAAAUGAUGAAAAUUGGGAGAAAAUUGGUGAAAAUUUGGGGGAAAAUCGGUGAAAAUUGGGGGAUUUGGGCACACCUGGGCACACCUGGGCACACCUGGGCACACCUGUCCCGUCUCACCUGCAGCAGGUCUGGUCUGGGCCAAGGUGGGUCCCGUGGGCGCCGUCGUCGCCUUCGCCGUCGUCAUCGCCCUCGUUUGUUACCUGAGCCAGAGCCGCCGCAAGAAGGCGUCGGGAAGCCCCGAGGUGACCCCGGUGACCCCGGCGGGGGGGCGGGACCCGGAGCCACGCCCACUGCAGGUAAAGGGGGCAGGGCUACGGAGGGGGCGGGGCUAAGGGGGGGAGGAGACCAUUGGGGAACUCUGGGGGGUCCUGGAUGGGAUUUUGGGGGAAUUUUUGGACAUUUGGGGACAUUUUGGGACAUUUUUGGGCGGGCAUUUGGGGGUGUGGUCCCAUGCAAGAUUGUGGGCGUGGCCAGCUGUGACCCCGCCCCUCCCAUCCAGGUGCGCUGGCUCCGGCGUUGGGCGCUGGGGGUGGGGGAGGGGCCUGGGUCGGCCCCGCCCCCCGAGGCCGCCCCGCCCCCCCCCAAACCCGCCCGGGGCCCCCCCGAGGAGCCCCCGGAGUACGCGGAGAUCCGCGUCAAGUGACCACGCCCACCGGACACGCCCACCGCCAAUGGACACGCCCACUUCGCAAGGACACGCCCACCCCUGGACAUGCCUAUCCCACCUGGACACGCCCACCACACCUGGACACGCCCAUCACAAUUGGACACGCCCACCAAGCCUGGACACGCCCAAUUGGGCACACCUGGACACGCCCACCUGGACUCGCCCACUGCAACUAAACCACGCCCACCUCACCUGGACACACCCACUGUGCCUGAGCCACGCCUAUAAGACCUGGGAUCACCUGGACACGCCCAUAAAUUGUGGGCACGCCCACCUGAACCACGCCCACCACACCUGGACCCCACCCACUGCACCUGGACUGUGGCAAAAGCCACCUUGAGACCACGCCCACCUCACCCGGGCACGCCCACCUGGGCUUGUUCUGGCCACGCCCAUCUCCUGGACACGCCCCCUUUUUAACUUGGCCACACCCACAUGUUUUAUCUGGGCUGUGACCACACCCACUCAAUGGGCACGCCCAUUUCCCUUCUAUGACCAUGCCCACCAUGAUGUGGCCACGCCUCCACAAACAUCACCUUGGCCACGCCCACCUCUACCUGGCCACGCCCAUCUCAUUAUCCUUGUGAUCACGCCCACCCUCACACGGCCACGCCCCUUUCUCGGCCAGACCACACCCACCCGCUUUUGGCUACGCCCACCUCCCCCUCUCCUGGCCACGCCCACUUCCUGGCCACGCCCAUUUCCCUCCCCAACCACACCCCUUGGCCACACCCACCCGGUCCUCCCAGACAGGCCCCGCCCCCUUUCAUUAAUUAUUUAUUGCCCCUCAUUAAUGAAUUCAUUAACCUGUGACCUUUGACCCCCAAUAAAACCGGAAGUGCCCGAAGGGGCUGCUGGGAG
ensembl:lncRNA